rnacentral:rRNA from 3 species
CUGCGAAUGGCUCAUUAUAUAAGUUAUCGUUUAUUUGAUAGUACCUUACUACUUGGAUAACCGUGGUAAUUCUAGAGCUAAUACAUGCUGAAAAUCCCGACUUCGGAAGGGAUGUAUUUAUUAGAUUAAAAACCAAUGCCCUCUGGGCUCUCUGGUGAUUCAUAAUAACUUCUCGAAUCGCAUGGCCUUGCGCCGGCGAUGGUUCAUUCAAAUUUCUUCCCUAUCAACUUUCGAUGUUUGGGUAGUGGCCAAACAUGGUUGCAACGGGUAACGGAGGGUUAGGGCUCGACCCCGGAGAAGGAGCCUGAGAAACGGCUACUACAUCCAAGGAAGGCAGCAGGCGCGCAAAUUACCCAAUCCCGAUUCGGGGAGGUAGUGACAAUAAAUACUGAUACAGGGCUCUUUUGGGUCUUGUAAUUGGAAUGAGUACAAUUUAAAUCCCUUAACGAGGAACAAUUGGAGGGCAAGUCUGGUGCCAGCAGCCGCGGUAAUUCCAGCUCCAAUAGCGUAUAUUAAAGUUGUUGUGGUUAAAAAGCUCGUAGUUGAACCUUGGGCCUGGCUGGCCGGUCCGCCUCACCGCGUGUACUGGUCCGGCCGGGUCUUUCCCUCUGUGGAACCCCAUGCCCUUCACUGGGUGUGGCGGGGAAACAGGACUUUUACUUUGAAAAAAUUAGAGUGCUCCAGGCAGGCCUAUGCUCGAAUACAUUAGCAUGGAAUAAUGAAAUAGGACGUGCGGUUCUAUUUUGUUGGUUUCUAGGACCGCCGUAAUGAUUAAUAGGGACAGUCGGGGGCAUCAGUAUUCAAUUGUCAGAGGUGAAAUUCUUGGAUUUAUUGAAGACUAACUACUGCGAAAGCAUUUGCCAAGGAUGUUUUCAUUAAUCAGGAACGAAAGUUAGGGGAUCGAAGACGAUCAGAUACCGUCGUAGUCUUAACCAUAAACUAUGCCGACUAGGGAUCGGACGAUGUUAUUUUUUGACUCGUUCGGCACCUUACGAGAAAUCAAAGUGC